CAGGUGGUGAACUUUCGGGGGACUGAACGGGUACCUCACGCUGCCGCUACCGCUGGGCCAGUCCAGAGGUACCGCCCUCAGCCCGGAUUAAAGUUAAUGCUGACGGUUGGCCGCACCAGGGCGAUUCCCUUAACGAGUUUAGCGUCCAAGCCUAUCCCGUUUAUGUCAUCGUGCAUAAAAUUAUGUCGUCACCUGUUAUUUAUACUAUAUCGCAAGCAUGAACACGCGGAGUUUUUGUGAGUCGUGACCAUCCACUGCCCAUUGAGGAUUGAAAAUGGACAUGCAGCGACAUGAAGCCUUAAGUGAAACCAAUUAAGAAAUAGCACCAAAGUAUGGAUCCAUGCUAUCACUAAUGUCCAAAAAGAAAAACCAUAAACAAAACAAGUGCUAGUGCCCAGUUGAAGCCGGAGCCACACCAAAAAAGAAGAAAACAAGAAAACCUUCUCACUCCCUCCUCAUUCAUCCCCUACCACA
rnacentral:sRNA from 1 species